GCGGGAGGGAAGCAGCGAGGCGUACCCCGACGAGGAGGGAAAAUUACCCAGGUUGGAAAAUCACAAGAGUUAAAUAAACAAAGGAAAUUAAGAAAGUCACAGAAGACACCAUAGAGCUACUGUGGUGAUGGCUUAUAAACACUCCAUAUCCUUUUUGUGUGGAAACAAUCUUGCUAGUCACGGGAGUGGUGGAGGGGAGAGUAACUCUGCCAAGCAAGAAACUGUUAGCUACCUGGCUCUUCGAUUUGAAAAUGAGACCCAGGCUUUGUGGUCUGAAGGGUUCUCCUAAGUCACUUGACUGAAAAUCAAGGACAGUGAGAGAAGAAUCAUAUCAGGAUGGUCUCUGUGGUGUUUAUCUACACUACGCUUCUCAGAAAAAAAUUAAUCCAAAUUGACUAGUUUCAGAUUUUUAAAAUGGAUCAUUAAACCAAGCUAAGUUCC